rnacentral:rRNA from 1 species
UUAAAGGUAUUUUCCGGUAGACGAUGGGGAUGCGUUCCAUUAGAUAGUAGGCGGGGUAACGGCCCACCUAGUCAACGAUGGAUAGGGGUUCUGAGAGGAAGGUCCCCCACAUUGGAACUGAGACACGGUCCAAACUCCUACGGGAGGCAGCAGUGAGGAAUAUUGGUCAAUGGGCGAUGGCCUGAACCAGCCAAGUAGCGUGAAGGAUGACUGCCCUAUGGGUUGUAAACUUCUUUUAUAAAGGAAUAAAGUCGGGUAUGCAUACCCGUUUGCAUGUACUUUAUGAAUAAGGAUCGGCUAACUCCGUGCCAGCAGCCGCGGUAAUACGGAGGAUCCGAGCGUUAUCCGGAUUUAUUGGGUUUAAAGGGAGCGUAGAUGGAUGUUUAAGUCAGUUGUGAAAGUUUGCGGCUCAACCGUAAAAUUGCAGUUGAUACUGGAUGUCUUGAGUGCAGUUGAGGCAGGCGGAAUUCGUGGUGUAGCGGUGAAAUGCUUAGAUAUCACGAAGAACUCCGAUUGCGAAGGCAGCCUGCUAAGCUGCAACUGACAUUGAGGCUCGAAAGUGUGGGUAUCAAACAGGAUUAGAUCCCCUGGUAGUCCACACGGUAAACGAUGAAUACUCGCUGUUUGCGAUAUACGGCAAGCGGC